AGGAAACAAGAUUCGCCGUCGUAGCUUCAUUCUAUUCCACUGCACCGCCAAGGAAGUAAUAUUCGAUGUUGCGGAUUCAAUCUUUUAAAUUGUAAUGUUGGGGAAGUAAGAUUCGCCAUCGUAGCUUCAAUCUGCUCCACUGCACCGCCAGAGAAGUAAGAUUCACCGUUGCGGCUUUAAUAUUUUAAAUUACAAUGUCGAG
rnacentral:lncRNA from 1 species